rnacentral:tRNA from 1 species
UCCCUGAUGGCUCAGUUGGUAAAGAAUCCACCUGCAAUGUGGGAGACCUGGGUUCAAUCCCUGGGUUGGGAA